rnacentral:tRNA from 1 species
UUUUACUAACCUAAAGUAUUUUUCUAUAGAAAAUAGAACGUUUUUUUAAACUAUAGUAAA